rnacentral:misc_RNA from 1 species
AACACCCUCCGGCCCCCGGUUUUUGCGAACCGGCGGGCGCGGGCCCAUGGCGUGGGGAUAGAGGCCACCGCGUUUCGGCGCGUCGAGGCAUUCCCCCGCUUAAACGCGGAGAAAAGCUAGCGGGCAGGUGCCCCCAUCGCGAUGACUCGUAGAUUUAUCUUCCGUCGUCCAGCGUGAGGGAAGCCGCCGCCUAAAAACGAGAGGGAGCCCUUCGCGGGGCGCCCCCUCCAGAA